UACGGGGGGGGCAAGCGUUGUUCGGAAUUACUGGGCGUAAAGGGCUCGUAGGCGGCCAACUAAGUCAGACGUGAAAUCCCUCGGCUUAACCGGGGAACUGCGUCUGAUACUGGAUGGCUUGAGGUUGGGAGAGGGAUGCGGAAUUCCAGGUGUAGCGGUGAAAUGCGUGGAUAUCUGGAGGAACACCGGUGGCGAAGGCGGCAUCCUGGACCAAUUCUGACGCUGAGGAGCGAAAGCCAGGGGAGCAAACGGG
rnacentral:rRNA from 1 species